AUUGAACGCUGGCGGCAGGCCUAACACAUGCAAGUCGAGCGAGCGGCGGACGGGUGAGUAAUGUCUGGGGAUCUGCCCGAUAGAGGGGGAUCACUACUGGAAACGGUGGCUAAUACCGCAUACUUUCGGAUGAAACCAUAUGGGAUUAGCUAGUAGGUGGGGUAAAGGCUCACCUAGGCGACGAUCUAUAGCUGGUCUGAGAGGAUGAUCAGCCACACUGUGACGUGUACACGGCCCAGACGCCGACGGGAGGCAGCAGUGGGGAAUAUUGCACAAUGGGCGCAAGCCUGAUGCAGCCAUGCCGCGUGUAUGAAGACGGCCUUAGGGUUGUAAAGUACUUUCAGCGGGGAGGCGUUACCCGCAGAAGAAGCGCCGGCUAACUCCGUGCCAGCAGCCGCGGUAAUAC
rnacentral:rRNA from 1 species